AGGCCGUGCACACUGGCCUGUCCCAGGACUCGAUGAACACUGGCAACCCAUGGGAAAAUUCUAUGAAGCUUGCAAUGGCGCUUAUGCUCAAGUAAACGUGAUAGCACCAAGCUCUUUCUGUGCGACUAUCCAAGGAUACAUACUAAAUACAUUUCUUCCUGUCAAGAGAAAGGAAUCUGCCUACUUUUUCCCCAAGACACAAGCAAGACUCGGAGAGCACUUGACUCUGGAACGGAUGCACAGAGGCAGCACUACAUAUGCAUCUUAUCUUGGAAAUGGCUUAAUAUAUAUGGUAGCAUCACAAUAACCUAAUUCUGUCCUUUCUUAGUCAGCACAGUACACAGUAAUCUCACAUGAGCCUGCGUCUUGCAAGUUAUGUCGGGUUUUGGCAGAACUGUCACUUCCCUUACAAUACAAUGCAUGUUGGGCUUGGGUUCAUUAUUAAAGAAAUAGUAUUUGUCUAGGAUUAGUCAGUCCAAAUUCAACAUUAUACGUUUAAUUUUUAGUGAUUUAUCUGGGUCAUAUCAGCAUGUGAUAUACAACAAAACCAUAUAUUUAUCUAAUCUUGUUGUAGGAAGGAUAGAAUUAUUAUGGCAAUACAGGAAUAACUAAUAAACUAGAAAUUGUGUUUCCUCUGGCUUGGAUAUGACUAUUCAGCUGGAGAAAAUAAUUGUCAAAGGUUUCGUAUGGAUUUCAAAACUACUUGCCAAGGAAGUCCUCUAUCUCCACUCUUCCAGGACCAAGACUCCAGUCUCACCUUAUUAUUCAAGAAAGUCAAAUGCUCUAGACUCUUAUUGCCUUCUAUUUUUGGCACUUUAAAUGGACAAAUAAAUAUUAUUUCACUUUUUGACUUUGCAGUAAUUUAGUCAAAUAGCUGUGGUUUGUCUUGCUUGUUACUAUGAUUCAUAUGCCACAAUCCAGACAAAUAAAUGUGCUACCAUGUCAUUUUUAAAAGAGAGGUCAAAACGUGUUCUUUGUCUUAGUUGUCUGCAUUGAUGUCAGGCUCUGUCAUAAUGCAUAUUAAAUGGGAUUGAAGCUUUAAGUUUUUACCCCUUACCACCAUAGUUUUGCUCAGAAACUGCUGGAGUCUUAAUAGGCUAGCUAUAUGAGAUAUUUCUUCCCUCUUCUAUUUUUACUUUGUGUUACAGGAUUCAGUAAUCUAUAUGGUAAAAAGGGAAAUAUAGCAUUCACAACAGCUCUUUCCUUCCUGUAUAACAUACAUCUGAAAAAAAUUAAUAU